rnacentral:rRNA from 1 species
UACGGGGGGAGCAAGCGUUGUUCGGAUUUACUGGGCGUAAAGGGCGCGUAGGCGGCCACUGCAAGUCGGUUGUGAAAUCUCCGGGCUUGACCCGGAAAGGUCAAUCGAUACUGCAGGGCUAGAGUGCAGAAGGGGCAACUGGAAUUCUCGGUGUAGCGGUGAAAUGCGUAGAUAUCGAGAGGAACACCUGCGGCGAAGGCGGGUUGCUGGGCUGACACUGACGCUGAAGCGCGAAAGCUAGGGGAGCGAACGGG